UCUUUUUCUCUUUCAUUCCUCUUUUUUUCUCUUUCUAUCUCUUUCAUUCUCUCUCUUUUUCUCUUUCUUUCUCUUUCAUUCUCUCUCUUUUUCUCUUUCUUUCUCUCUCUUUUUGGAAGUUUCCAUAAUCUGACCCUUUUAAAUCACACUUUUUCUUUUCCUUCUUUCAUUCUUUCUUUGUCUCUCUGUCUUUGUCUUUCUCUCUGUUUGUCUGCAUCAGUCUCUCUGUCUUUUUCUCUUUCUCUUUUCUCUACAACUGGUCCACCUACUUGUUUUUCACUGGCUCAACUUUGAAGGCAAAAUGAUACAUUUCACUUAAGCCAGAUGGGCUAUGAUUUCUAUAAUAGAGGCCUAUGACCCUCUCUAAACUUAGGCAUCAACAUUCAUCUUUACAUAAUUACUUAAUUACCUAAGAUACUCUUUAGUUCUGAUUUUUCUCUUCUAUGGUCCCACCCUACAUAUCUACUUUCUCAAGAUGAAUUGAGAGACCAGUUCCUGGGCCAAAGGAAUCAAUCUCCUUUUUUUUUUUUUUUUUUUUUUUUUUGCAUUUAGGUUUUCUACCACUUCUUGCUAAGGGCAAUGGGUUAUUUGUCCUGGUUGGGCCUUUCUCUCGAGCAUGAGUAAAGUUUUGAGACUCAAAAGUCAUACAAGUACUUUGCAAACUUAAAGCACCACACGAAUGCCAAUUUAUUAUUAUUAUCAUCAUCAUUAUUAUUAUUAGCCUACAUUCACCAAACCUCUGGUCUAGUGAUAACCUCAUUCAUUGAGUCUCCUAUAACUCUCGUGCUGAACUUACAAUAUUUACCAGGCACGAGAGGAAUGUGCUGAUAAAUACUUAAAAACCUGGCAUCGGAGGAGGAGGAGUAGAAGAAGGAAAUGUAUGCUCACACACUUUUAAGUUGAAUCUACAUUAUUAAUACUUUCUUAAGUCUAGACAAUGAACAAAACAAUAAAUCAAGCUCUGAAUUAUAAGGAAUGCUGAUUUCUGAGGUGUAAGUACUUAUACUGAAAAUCUAACAAUGGAACUUCUAAGCCAGUCAAAGCUGGCUCCUGCACACCACUUGGUAUGCAUAUAGGACUUAAGUAAUAUAUGUUUUUGUAAUUCAUAAAUGAAAACAAUAUGGACACAAAGAAUGUCAAGAUAUUCUCAUCUGACCUCUCAACACUGCAGAAUCAAGUCACUACCAGUACUCAAACUGUUCACUUUGAAGGAUUUUUUCCUUUCUGAAAGGGAAAUAAUGGUGGAAUACCUGGAAGAGCUCACUCCCUUGUUGUAAUCUCAGUCUGUUCCUUUGGAACAACCCUUUAUUUGGUUUCUAUGGCAACUGGCAAGGAUAGCUGGAACUAAAGAUGGAAAACAUAUACUAAGCACUCAAACCCUUACAAAGUCCCAUAAAGAAAAAUGCUCAGAGUUGAAAGAGAUCUCUAAGGGCAUCUAACCCACCAUGUACCAGAAGAAGAACUCUUCAGGACUCCAACAAAUGGUCAUCCAACCUAUAUUUGAAGGCAUUCAGUGAUGGAGAACUCAUUGUUUCCCAAGUCAAGUAAAUAAACAUUUAUUAAAUGUCUAUCAUUUGCCAAUAGUCUGCUAAAAGCUGAAGAUACUAAGAAAGGCAAAAAUAGUCCCUGUUCUCAAGUGUUCUCAUAGUCUAUUUCAAUUUGGACAGAUUUAAUUGUUAGGAAGUAUUUCUUCAUGUUGAACACUACUCAGGAACAGGCAACUACAAUUCCAAGAAUAUUAACUAAAUUAAACUUCCCAUCAUGAUUCUUUUUGUGAUAACAUUUGGCCACUAGGAUCUGGAUCGAGAACAUAAAAAUCAUCUUGCAGCUGCUAGAUAUUUCAUAUAUGCGCUUUUGACCUUCAAGCUGAGCAGCUAAAGAAUACAGAAAAAUCCCACUUGACCUCAGAAAUGAAAGUUACAUAGAUUGCAUCGGAGCUAUGGAGCUUUCAAGAAGACUGAAGGAAUCAUUCAAAACAAAGCAAAUCCAAGCCCACUCUUACUCUUCCCCACCCCCAUCCUUAUGCUGAUAAUGAAGAAAUUUUAAUUAUCAAUUCACCAUUUUGACAUUUUUAUUUAGACAAUUAUUCUCUAAAAGGAAGAAUAAAGUUCCCACCAGAAACAGAGUCCUUA